UGAGUGUGUCUGUCAGUGUGUGUGUGAGUGAGUGAGUGUGUCUGUCAGUGUGUGUGUGAGUAUGUGUGUCUGUCAGUGUGUGUGUGAGUAUGUGUGUCUGUCAGUGUGUGUGUGAGUAUGUGUGUCUGUCAGUGUGUGUGUGCAUGUGAGUAUGUGUGUGUGAGUGUGUGUGUCUGUGUGGUUCUGUCAGUGUGUGUGUGUGUG
rnacentral:lncRNA from 1 species